rnacentral:rRNA from 1 species
UACGGAGGAUGCAAGCGUUAUCCGGAAUGAUUGGGCGUAAAGCGUCCGCAGGUGGCUGUGUAAGUCUGCUGUCAAAGAGCAAAGCUCAACUUUGUAAAGGCAGUGGAAACUACACGGCUAGAGUGCGUUCGGGGCAGAGGGAAUUCCUGGUGUAGCGGUGAAAUGCGUAGAUAUCUGGAGGAACACCGGUGGCGAAGGCGGCAUCCUGGACCGAAACUGACACUGAGGCGCGAAAGCCAGGGGAGCAAACGGG